rnacentral:lncRNA from 1 species
GGGUACAUCCCAGAUGGCACCCUAUUCCCUAGUGCACUACUUGUGACCUGGGCCCAUAGGGAAUAGGGUGCCAUUUGGGAUGCAAGCUAGGACUGCUGUCAAAUUUCCAUGUUGUAGCUAGUCCUCACAGCUCCACUCUCUCAACAUAUCAGGUUGUAGCUAGUCCUCAAGCUCCACCUCUCAAACAAUAUCAUGUGUAUAUCUAGUCCUCAAAGCUCCACUCUCUCAACAAUAUCAUGUUGUAUCUAGUCCUCACAGCUCCACUCUCUCAACAAUAUCAUGUUGUAGCUAGUCCUCACCUCACAGCUCCACUCUCUCAACAAUAUCAUGUUGUAGCUAGUCCUCACAGCUCCACUCUCUCAACAAUAUCAUGUUGUAUCUAGUCCUCACAGCUCCACUCAUUUCCAUCAGCUGCUAGAUAAAAUAAUCUGUGGUAAAUCACUACUAAAUUGCGCUGUCAUAGUAUGAUAUAAUAUGUCAUAACACACUAUGAUGGUUAGUGAUUACCCACGUUUCAU